AAAUGAAGAAACAAAUAUGGGGAGGAGAGAGGACAAGGUAGUGAGGUAGUAUAGGCGAGGUGGCCGACUCUCUAUUUGGCCGAGUCCUCUCUCCUCCCCAUAUUUGUUUCUUCAUUU